AUGGAUGACUUGCUGCAGACGAAGAUGCAGAAGGGCCUCAUCUCAUCCCAUGCCCAGCCUAAGCGCGAGAACCCUGUCUGGCGCUUCUAUCGUAGGGCAAAGUGGUACCAUUUGCUCAUGAUGUAUGGCCCAGCAUUUGUGUUCGGCUAUGCGUCCAUGUGGGAUCGGCCUGAUGGCAAGAAGGAGCCGGCGCCAGAUCAGUAG
rnacentral:rRNA from 1 species